GACGAACGCUGGCGGCGUGCUUAACACAUGCAAGUCGAGCGAGUGGAUUCCCUUCGGGGAUGAAGCUAGCGGCGGACGGGUGAGUAACACGUGGGCAACCUGCCUUAUAGAGGGGGAUAGCCUUCCGAAAGGAAGAUUAAUACCGCAUAACAUCAGAUUACCGCAUGGUAGACUGAUCAAAGGAGUAAUCCGCUAUAAGAUGGGCCCGCGUCGCAUUAGCUAGUUGGUGAGGUAACGGCUCACCAAGGCGACGAUGCGUAGCCGACCUGAGAGGGUGAUCGGCCACAUUGGGACUGAGACACGGCCCAGACUCCUACGGGAGGCAGCAGUGGGGAAUAUUGCACAAUGGGGGAAACCCUGAUGCAGCAACGCCGCGUGAGUGAUGAAGGCCUUCGGGUUGUAAAGCUCUUUGAUCAGGGACGAUAAUGACGGUACCUGAAGAACAAGCCACGGCUAACUACGUGCCAGCCGCCGCAGUAAUAC
rnacentral:rRNA from 1 species